rnacentral:lncRNA from 1 species
ACUGCCUCCAUCUUGGAUAAACUCUUUUUUCAAAAAGAUGGUAUAAUGGCUCACAAUCACAUUGUGAUCCUCAAAAAGAUAGAAGUGGUAUCUCAUGGUUUUCUUAGGAUAUCCUAUAAAGCGAGUCCUAAAGGACCUAGCCUCUAACUUGUCUGCUUGCUGUCACUUGACAUGGAUCAGACAUCUCCAAAUCUUGAGAUAUCCAAGAGUUGGCUUCUUACCAUAUCAUAAC